rnacentral:rRNA from 1 species
AGCGAACGCUGGCGGCAGGCCUAACACAUGCAAGUCGAACGAACUCUUCGGAGUUAGUGGCGGACGGGUGAGUAACACGUGGGAACGUGCCCUUUGGUACGGAAUAACUCGGGGAAACUUGAGCUAAUACCGUAUGUGCCCUUCGGGGGAAAGAUUUAUCGCCAUUGGAGCGGCCCGCGUCUGAUUAGCUAGUUGGUGAGGUAAAGGCUCACCAAGGCUACGAUCAGUAGCUGGUCUGAGAGGAUGAUCAGCCACAUUGGGACUGAGACACGGCCCAAACUCCUACGGGAGGCAGCAGUGGGGAAUCUUGCGCAAUGGGCGAAAGCCUGACGCAGCCAUGCCGCGUGAAUGAUGAAGGUCUUAGGAUUGUAAAAUUCUUUCACCGGGGACGAUAAUGACGGUACCCGGAGAAGAAGCCCCGGCUAACUUCGUG